rnacentral:rRNA from 1 species
AUGUCCUUUCUUCAGAUUUCAGGACAUCCUAUGGUUAAUCAAGGUCCAGUGCAUGCCAAUGUUUCUCGGAAGCUUACCAUGCAUAAUCUGGUACAUGAUCUUGCCUCAAAAAUUAUUGACGAUGAAUUCCUUGUUCUGGAUCCUAAAGCAAAUGGAGCAAGGAGUUGGAAAAGAGCUAUUCAUUGCCGGCAUGCAGAGUUGAUACAAUACGAGAAUCAAUCCAAUGUUUUCGAUUGUCUGCCAAAAAAGCUUAGAUCACUCCAUAUUAGAGAUUUGCAGAAGUGGCAACUCCCCCCAAAGGCAUUUUCUCGAUCCAAGUACAUACGUGUCUUGGACCUAGCAUGUACAGCACGACAACUCACUGAAGGCCAAUCUACGUCAAGCAACAUUAUGCUGCCACGUUCCAUCAAAAACCUGAAGCUACUUAGGUACCUUGAUUCCACGGGAUUGCCAGUUCCUUUACUUCCUAAGUCUCUGUAUACACUUCAGAAUAUGGAAACUCUGAUUAUGUCCAAUUGCUCACUCGAAACCUUGCCUGACAAUAUCUGUAGCCUCCACAGACUUCGUUAUCUGGACCUAUCCGGUAAUAGAAGCCUUGAUAAGCUACCUACCUCAUUGGGUAAGCUCUCUAAACUCUCUUUCCUCAACUUGUCUGGGUGUUCCAUCCUCCAAGUGCUGCCUAAAUCCAUCUGUGAGCUGGCAUCUUUAGAAUAG